UCCAGACUCCUACGGGAGGCAGCAGUGGGGAAUAUUGCACAAUGGGGGGAACCCUGAUGCAGCGACGCCGCGUGAGUGAAGAAGUAUUUCGGUAUGUAAAGCUCUAUCAGCAGGGAAGAUAAUGACGGUACCUGACUAAGAAGCCCCGGCUAACUACGUGCCAGCAGCCGCGGUAAUACGUAGGGGGCAAGCGUUAUCCGGAUUUACUGGGUGUAAAGGGUGCGUAGGUGGCAGGGCAAGUCAGAUGUGAAAGCCCGGGGCCCAACCCCGGUACUGCAUUUGAAACUGUCCGGCUGGAGUGCAGGAGAGGUAAGCGGAAUUCCUAGUGUAGCGGUGAAAUGCGUAGAUAUUAGGAGGAACACCAGUGGCGAAGGCGGCUUACUGGACUGUAACUGACACUGAGGCACGAAAGCGUGGGGAGCAAACAGGAUUAGAUACCCCCGUAC
rnacentral:rRNA from 1 species